CAACAAAACGGAGAAGGCAAAUUUCGAAAUGCUGCAUAUGCUCUAAAUCAAACAAAAGAAACUGAUAUACGCAGUAGCUCUAUAGAGGUUGAUUCGGAUGGUCCUGCAGGCACGUGCCAGAUUAACAAGGGUUUCGUUGAUGAUGAAACGGUUACGUCUCAAGCCCAUCUGGAAGAAUUGGAUGUAAUAAAACCACUCCAAAUAUCGCUUCAGUCUCAAGAAUCAUGAUGGGAGCAAAAGAAGCAAGGAGUAGGUCUGACAAUAGUAGUCAUGUAGAAGAGGGUGAAGCAAAUAGUACGGACUUACCUAAACGAAAAUUUAGCGCAGCAGCAGAAUGGUCAAAACUCGCAGAGAAUCAUGCAAUACUACAUUCAGGUGGAUCCACUACAAGCUUUCUUUCAACAAAUCCAACCGUGGCCUGCCCGUCUGACUGAAUCAUACCAAAGAGCUAAACAAAGGGUUGCCUCGAGAAGGCCCACCUUUUAUGACGUAUUGCGCAAAAUUCAUGCACAGAAAUUAGCAAGGAAAUUAAGGUCUUUUAUUGAGCACAAUGUGGAGUCGUCUUUUCAGUUUAAACAACCGAAAUAUUACAUGCAUGAUUCCAGUUCUAGUGACGAGGAUUUCGUACCAAGAGAUCCGUACAGUACAGUUACAAGGAAGAGAAAAUGGUAUGAGCGAAAACCGAAUACGGGCAGUGAAAGAUUGAUGCAAAAUAAAUUCUUUGCAAAUGCAAGAUUGCGGUAUAAAGCCCGGACAAUGAUCGGUGCGGCCGGAAGUCGCCACCAACGGCGACGAGCGUCGCUUGCGGUCUCGGCGCUGAGUGGCGGUGGGAUGUAUAGCCCUAUGGAACAACUACGAGAAUUAGAUGAAAAUGGGCCCCGACCACCGCCUAGUCGGCGCCGGGCUUGUGAUACUUCUGACUUCAAAUCUUGUGCUAUUCUUCAAACGAGACUCAAGGAAGUUAAACGCUACCCCGAAAUGGCAUCUUUCACUGGAAUGAAUAGAGAAGAUAUGACGGGACCCGUGGAUGGAACCCUGGGUCAGGCCACCAGUCGGGCUGCACAUCUUAGUCUUCCGGGAUUCGGGGGUUCAAAUACCCGGUCCUUGUUUAUAUUCAGCGAAGAAAAUUUUAUACGGAAGUAUGCGAAGAUCAUCAUUGAGUGGGGGCCGUUCGAGUAUAUGGUGCUACUUACUAUCAUUGCCAACUGUGUUGUCUUAGGUCUAGAAGAACAUUUACCACAGCAUGAUAAAACUCCUCUAGCUGAACAGUUGGAGAAGACAGAAUUGUACUUUUUAAUAAUAUUUUGUGUAGAGGCUUUACUAAAGAUCGUAGCAUUAGGUUUCAUAUUACAUCGUGGUUCAUAUCUACGCAACGUUUGGAACAUCAUGGAUUUCGUAGUCGUAGUAACAGGGUUCAUUACCAUAAUCGCCUCUAGUACAUUAGAUUUACGGACCUUGAGGGCGGUCCGUGUGUUACGUCCCCUGAAACUGGUGUCGGGUAUACCAAGUUUACAGGUGGUGCUGAAGUCUAUUAUACGUGCUAUGGCACCAUUGCUCCAAGUCUGCCUUCUCGUGUUCUUCGCCAUCAUCAUGUUUGCCAUUAUAGGGCUAGAAAUUUAUAAUGGUGCAUUCCACUUCGCCUGCUAUAGGCUUGACUCUAGGCCUAGCAAUGACGAAUCGGAUAUUUAUAUAGGAGAAGAAGAUAGUGUUAGACCUUGUAGUUCUAAAGACAGUGGUAGCGGUUAUACUUUAGGAGGUUUUAGGUGCCAAGAAAACGUUUCAGAAUGCCGGCCAUAUUGGCGCGGCCCAAACUAUGGAAUAACUAGUUUUGACAAUAUUGGAUAUGCAAUGUUGACAGUUUUUCAAUGUUUUACAAUGGAAGGAUGGACUACAAUAUUGUAUAAUACGAAUGACGCGUGUGGAAAGUACUUCAAUUGGAUUUAUUUCUACCCUCUCAUUAUUCUCGGAUCAUUCUUCAUGCUCAACUUAGUACUUGGUGUUCUUAGUGGUGAAUUCGCCAAAGAGAGAGAAAGAGUAGAAAAUCGUAGAGCAUUUUUCAAAUUACGUCGUAGGCAGCAAUUAGAUAGGGAAUUAAAUGGAUAUCUUGAGUGGAUCUGCAAAGCAGAGGAAGUUAUUUUAAAUGAAGAAAGAACAACAGACGAAGAAAAGAUUAAAAUCAUAGAAGCUCGGCGGAGAGCAGCAGCAAGAAAGAUGAAGCAGUUGCAGGAUGGAAAAUACAACGAUGAUGACAAUGACGACAACAAUGAAGACGAUUUAUUAGGAGAUCUAAAUAUAGGCAAUGCUCUUGGAAGGAAUUUCCGUGGAAGAAGAACAACAGGGAAAUAUGCCACGUUUUGGAAAGCAGAAAAACGGUUAAGAUAUGCUGUCCGUCGAGCAAUCAAAAGUCAAGCAUUUUAUUGGACUGUGAUAAUUCUUGUUCUUUUAAACACUGUUUCUGUGGCCUCAGAACACUACGGACAACCGCAGUGGCAUACACAAUUUUUAUAUAUUACAGAAUUUUUAUUUCUGGGACUUUUUAUGAUGGAAAUGAUCAUCAAAAUGUACGGCCUUGGAGUGCGUACAUAUUUCCAGUCUUCGUUUAAUAUAUUUGACUGUGUUGUGAUAGUUGGUAGUAUAUUUGAAGUUAUAUGGUCCGAGUUUAAGGAGGGUGCUUCUUUUGGUAUUAGUACUCUCCGUGCUCUUCGGCUGCUCAGAAUUUUCAAAGUCACAAGGUAUUGGUCAUCAUUGCGUAAUCUAGUCAUCUCGUUGUUACACUCCAUGCGCUCCAUCAUCAGUCUCUUAUUCCUGCUCUUCUUAUUUAUCCUUAUAUUUGCCUUACUUGGGAUGCAGCUAUUCGGGGGAGAGAUGAACUUUGAAGAGGGGCGUCCUGCAAGUCACUUUGAUACAUUCCCUAUAGCUCUGUUGACAGUUUUCCAGAUAUUGACUGGAGAAGAUUGGAAUGAAGUGAUGUACUCUGGUAUACGAUCAGGCGGUGGUAUAGAAGGAUAUGGAAUGGUGUUUUCUUCAUAUUUCAUUAUACUUGUUGUCUUUGGCAACUACACACUGCUGAAUGUAUUCUUGGCUAUCGCCGUCGACAAUUUAGCAAAUGCCCAGGAAUUAACGGCGGAUGAAGAGGAUUCAGAGGUCGCACGCGAGGAGAUUAUCAGCAUGUUGAACGAAUCGGUUUCAAUGAAUCUGCGGCGUGAUGAGAUAGGAAAAGCAAUGGAGAACCACUUUGGUACCCAACCUGGAGGGGGUCCCCCACCAAUCAACAUAUGCCCACCGUCUCCACAAAAUAAUGAUGAAACAAAAAUUGGAAACUUUGCGUAUAUAUCUUUCAGUAAUACAAAAUUGGACACGAACUUGAGCCAGAACAACCUGAAAGACAACCUGAACAAAGAAGUGAUGGUUAAUAUGCGCAGUGGCGGUACCCCUAACAGGGACAGAGAAGUUGAAUCAACAAGAAGCAGUAGUAUCGACCUACCACGUCAGAACACCAACGCCAGUCAGGAUGAGCCAGGUUUUGGCCAACCGAAACCUAUGUUACCAUACAGUUCCAUGUUUAUUUUUGGGCCUACAAAUCCGAUACGUCGAUUUUGCCAUUUUGUUGUCAAUCUCCGUUACUUUGACCUGUUCAUCAUGAUAGUUAUAAGUGCGAGUAGUAUCGCUCUAGCUGCCGAAGACCCAGUGGACGAACACUCUGAACAUAAUAACAUACUCAACUACUUCGAUUAUGUUUUCACUGGUGUUUUCACAAUAGAACUCAUUUUGAAGGUUGUGGAUUUAGGUAUCAUCCUCCAUCCUCGAGCUUACUGCAGAGAUCCAUGGAAUAUUUUAGAUGCUACUGUCGUUAUCUGUGCCCUCGUUGCCUUCUUUUUCACCAUCUCGUCGAGUGACAGCGCCGGGAAGAAUCUUAAUACGAUCAAAUCUCUGAGGGUUUUGAGAGUUUUACGGCCACUGAAAACUAUUAACAGGGUACCGAAACUCAAGGCUGUAUUCGACUGUGUUGUGAACUCAUUGAAGAAUGUGUCCAAUAUUCUUAUUGUGUACAUGCUGUUCCAAUUCAUUUUUGCGGUGAUUGCGGUUCAGUUAUUCAAGGGAAAGUUUUUCUACUGCACAGACGAGUCAAAAGAAACAAGAGAAGAAUGCAAGGGCCAGUACUUUUCUUACGAAGAUGGUCCAGAUUCACCUUCGGUUGAAGACCGACAGUGGCGUCGGCAAGACUUUCACUACGACAACGUGAUGUAUGCCAUGUUAACACUGUUUACAGUCACAACCGGAGAAGGAUGGCCAGCUGUGUUGAAGAAUUCGAUGGACUCUACGUUUGUAGACCAAGGUCCACAACCAAAUUACCACAUGGAGAUGGCGGUGUUUUAUGUUGUGUUUUUCAUUGUCUUUCCAUUCUUCUUCGUGAACAUCUUCGUCGCUCUCAUCAUCAUUACAUUCCAAGAACAGGGAGAAAGUGAUCUAGGCGAUCAGGAUUUAGAUAAAAAUCAAAAACAAUGCAUUGAUUUCACGAUGAAUGCUAAACCACUGUGUCGCUUUAUGCCAAAGAACAAAGGAUCUUUCAAGUACCGGGUAUGGAAAUUGGUAGUUUCUCCAAAAUUUGAAUAUUUGGUGAUGACCCUUAUCGCCUUAAACACCGUGGUUCUUAUGAUGAAGUUUAAUAAUCAGCAAGAGUUUGAGAAUAAGUACCGGGAGCGGUCAACAGAGAAUGGACAUCCCAAUAUCGCUGACCAAGGGUCCUUUUAUGAGAAGGUUCUCAUAUCAAUAAAUAUAGUCUUCACGGUGCUAUUUACCAUAGAAUGUAUUCUAAAACUAUUGGCGUUUGGAAUUAAGAAUUACUUCCGCGAUGCCUGGAAUAUAUUUGACUUUGUGACCGUGUUGGGGAGUAUUCUGGACGUCAUGAUAAAUGAAUUUGGGGAGCGUGUAGCAGAAAUGGUAACUGGCAAGGAACAGGGUGAUUAUGUAGGCUUUAACGUUGGUAUAUUCCGAUUGUUCCGAGCUGCGCGUUUGGUGAAGCUUCUCCGCCAAGGGUACACUAUACGGUUACUUCUUUGGACAUUUUUACAAUCAUUUAAGGCCUUGCCGUACGUUUGUCUGCUCAUCUUGAUGUUGUUCUUCAUCUUCGCAAUCAUUGGCAUGCAAAUAUUUGGAAACAUCAAACUAGACUCUGAAACUGACAUAAACAGGCAUAACAAUUUCAGGAGCUUUUUUCAAGCACUUAUGUUAUUAUUCAGAUGUGCGACAGGCGAAAACUGGCAGCAGAUUAUGUUAUCAUGUCUCAGUAAUCGACCAUGUGACCCAAUGUCUAAUAUGGGGUCAAAUGAGUGCGGCCUUGACUUCGCAUACGGAUACUUUGUAGCAUUUAUAUUCUUCUGCUCUUUUCUUAUGUUGAACUUAUUCGUUGCUGUCAUCAUGGAUAACUUUGACUACCUGACACGUGACAGCUCCAUACUCGGUCCCCAUCAUUUAGACGAAUAUAAUCGUGUAUGGGCUGAAUAUGACCCUGGCGCCACAGGCCGAAUACAGUACACUGAUAUGUAUGAUAUGCUACGAAAUAUGGAGCCACCGGUAGGGUUUGGAAAGAAAUGUCCGUACAGAUUGGCAUACCGUAAACUUAUCAGAAUGAAUAUGCCAGUGGCUAUGGAUGGAACAGUACAUUUUACAACAACACUUUUUGCCCUUAUCAGAGAAUCUCUUGGAAUCAAAACGUCUAUAACUGAAGAAAUGGACAAAAAGGAUGACGAAAUGCGGGAGGUUAUACAACGUCUGUGGCCUGUGCAGGCCAAGAAGCUUAUUGAUCUACUAGUACCACCAAAGGAAGAAUUAAACGAAGGGAAAAUGACGGUUGGAAAGAUAUAUGUUGGCCUCCUUAUUUCUGAGAACUGGAAAGCCUAUAAGGCUAGUCAACUGAACGGACAAACUACUAGAAAGGAAGUCUUGGAUGAGGUAAAUGACGUCACACGGUCAAUACACCUCGGCCAUUCUUCUGAUGUUUCAUUUUCAUAGCACUACUACUGUCUCUUCUGUUUUGUAUAUUUUAUUUGGGUUUUACCUCAGUAUAGCACUCCCACCGCCUCUUUUGCGCUUGAUGUUUCACAACGUCUCAUACAUUAGUUCCGUUAUUUAUUCAGUUUUACGUAAUCACCAUAUAACAGUACACAUGUUUUUAAGUUGUAGCAGUCUUUAUUCAGUUAUCUUAGUUUGUUAUUUUGUUUUCAUCAGGACAUAUUCACUAAAUGUACUUCCUUUGUUCAGUAAUUAUAGGGAAAGACUUUCCCCAAAUGUCUAUUUUGUUUCCCAUCACCUUUAUCUGUUAUCUGCUUAGCUUUUCCGUAGGUGAUAUAGAUCUCUAAUUAUUACACAUUACAUGGCUUUAUGCAUUUCCAACAGCUGAAUAAAAUAACUACUGGAUUAUAGUCGGUCACAGGUUGUAAAUAAAUAUAUUCAUAUGAGGGAAACUAGAUUUCAUUCAUUUUUAAACACAUUUUGCAGUUGUGUCUGGACGCUUUUGAUUUUGCACGAUUUAUAACAGGAAAUGUGAAAAUUUUGACUACGUAUAUAGCAAAAUACUUCAGAAGAUAUUUGAGGAUGUAUUUAUGCAGUGGCAGAGUUUUGCAUCUGUAUGAUAUAGAAACGACAGAACGGUUAUUCGCUCAACUUGGACAAAAGCAAAACAAAUCCGAAUGGUAUACAGCACAUCUUGUACGAUCCAUCAUUCUGUUUCUACUAAUAUAAAAACUUAAGCUAAAAUUCCUGUUUCUACUAGUACAAAAGAGAAAGCUCAUGUUAACUUGAGCUAAAAUUUCUGUUCCUACUAAUAUGAAAACUUAAGCUAAAACUUUUGUUUCUGUUAAUAUGAAAACUUAAGCUAAAACUUUUGUUUCUGUUAAUAUGAAAACUUAAGCUUAAAUCCAAUAACACGACAGAUACUGCUCUUUUGAACCUCUCGAACACUGACGCUCAUUAUAACACAAACUUAUCUCAAUUAAACAACAUAUCUUAGAGGUUACAUUCAUUCCUUUAAAACUUUUGCCUCUGCUUAAUCUUUAUACUAAUAAUGGCCGUGGCUAAAAUGACGUCAUCGUUGCCUUGCCAACUGCAUUGAAAGAGCCCCCUGAAAAUGACGAGCGGCCGCCAUCUUUGUUCAAGCGCCUUAUGGGCGUCAUGAGGACGCCAUCAGGUCGCUCAAGCCAGAGCAUUGAUUCCGAUCAUUCUGGAGACGAGGACACUCAUAGUUUUCUCCGUCGGAACA
rnacentral:misc_RNA from 1 species